rnacentral:rRNA from 1 species
UACGUAGGGUGCGAGCGUUAAUCGGAAUACUGGGCGUAAAGCGUGCGCAGGCGGUUUUGUAAGUCUGUCGUGAAAUCCCCGGGCUCAACCUGGGAAUUGCGAUGGAGACUGCAAGGCUAGAAUCUGGCAGAGGGGGGUAGAAUUCCACGUGUAGCAGUGAAAUGCGUAGAGAUGUGGAGGAACACCGAUGGCGAAGGCAGCCCCCUGGGUCAAGAUUGACGCUCAUGCACGAAAGCGUGGGGAGCAAACAGG